rnacentral:rRNA from 1 species
UACGAAGGGGGCUAGCGUUGCUCGGAAUCACUGGGCGUAAAGGGUGCGUAGGCGGGUCUUUAAGUCAGAGGGGAAAUCCUGGAGCUCAACUCCAGAACUGCCUUUGAUACUGAGGAUCUUGAGUUCGGGAGAGGUGAGUGGAACUGCGGGUGUAGAGGUGAAAUUCGUAGAUAUUCGCAAGAACACCAGUGGCGAAGGCGGCUCACUGGCCCGAUACUGACGCUGAGGCACGAAAGCGUGGGGAGCAAACAGG